UACGAGGGGGGCAAGCGUUGUUCGGAAUUAUUGGGCGUAAAGGGUGCGUAGGCGGUUUGACAAGUCUGAUGUGAAAUCUAUGGGCUCAACCCAUAGUCUGCAUCGGAAACUGUCGGGCUGGAGUAUGGGAGAGGUGAGUGGAAUUUCCGGUGUAGCGGUGAAAUGCGUAGAUAUGGAAGGAACACCUGUGGCGAAAGCGGCUCACUGGACCAUUCUGACG
rnacentral:rRNA from 1 species